rnacentral:tRNA from 1 species
GCAGGAUUAGCUCAGCGGUAGAGUAACUGGAGUGCUAACCCAGGUGGUCAUCGGUUCGAAUCCGGUAUCUUGCACCA